GACGAACGCUGGCGGCGUGCCUAAUACAUGCAAGUCGAGCGAAUCAAUAGGAGCUUGCUCCUGUUGGUUAGCGGCGGACGGGUGAGUAACACGUGGGCAACCUGCCUGUAAGACUGGGAUAACACCGGGAAACCGGUGCUAAUACCGGAUAACCCUUUUCCUCUCAUGAGGAAUAGCUGAAAGUCGGUUUCGGCUGACACUUACAGAUGGGCCCGCGGCGCAUUAGGCUAGNGGUGAGGUAACGGCUCACCAAGGCGACGAUGCGUAGCCGACCUGAGAGGGUGAUCGGCCACACUGGGACUGAGACACGGCCCAGACUCCUACGGGAGGCAGCAGUAGGGAAUCUUCCACAAUGGACGAAAGUCUGAUGGAGCAACGCCGCGUGAGCG
rnacentral:rRNA from 1 species